UGCAGAUUUAAAGGUAAAAAUCUGAAGUAGCUUAGGCCUUUUCCUAGAGUUACAUGACUUAUGUUGUCAUCAUAUUCUCCACUUUUUUCCCUCUCCCCAGGGAAUUCAUUCAGGCAUUGGACUCAGCUUUUCAGAUAGCUACUUUGACAUGCACAAACUAAUGAAAAUCAUCCCACUGCUGAAUUUGGAAAGAAACACCAAUCACAGAUGGUGAAGGGACAGGCACCUGGCAGCUGCAUCGAUGCCAAGCAAUGCUACUGGGCACCUCUGGUGACAGAAGAAGAAACUUUUUUAUUUGGCAUAUAUUUAUUUAUAUAUUAAAGAUCUAUUUAUAUA